ensembl:lncRNA
UGUGCAUGUUAUGCCUGAUUGGAUGAUGUUAUAUCAAAACUUCUGAAGUACUGCUACAUAACGCUUCUCACUCUGUGUUGCAGGUGAGAUGGGGUGGCAGAAGCCAGGAUGGAGCAGGAAACACGGUGGGAGAGGAAGUAGAGCAGGUAUGGUAUUAUUGUCAGUAUUUUAACUAUGACUACAAAGAGUCUUAAUAGAAUCCAUAACACCAAAAGGUACUUAUCUGUCAUCUAAGUAACAAGCCUGGUGUGAGGGUUAAAGUACAUCCUUUAUGUAUGAGUUAAAAUAAAUAAUAGGCAGUUCAGUUGUUCAUGCAUGCGUAAGGGGUCCCAAAUUCCUAGGAUAAUACAGCACACAUGUUUUCUGUUAAACCACAACCACAAGAUCUAUGGUGUGUAGGUAAUAUUUUUAUGUAAUGGAGACCAAAAUUUUAUUGUAUUAUUUUCUUUAUAGGUGAACAGCUUUCUCUCCAGGGCAGCACUUGUCACAAAAUACAUGACAAAGGCUGGGAAUUAAAAAACAAAGUUUCUCUGUUCUGUUCUUACGAAAGUUAUCAUUGUAUUACUUCAAGGAAGAGUGAACAUGCUAACGCGACAGGCCAUGGGUUGGAACAGAAGAAAGAGGGACAACCUUCAUCAAGUGUUAGCCCACAGAUAUGUCAAAAUCGCAGAGAGGGCAAAACUGGAAGCUGCCAGCCUUAGCAAAAUCAAGAAGGAGCACAACCUUGAUCAGGAGACAAUACAGCAGUGGGUGUGUGAUGUCAGACAAUGGGCGGUUACAGAGAGAGUCUACACUCCAGGUUGUACUGAAGAGCUAAGGGCUGACAUUGAGAACAUCACUGUAACCCUUUUGCGCAAGAAGAAAGAUCUGUAUCGUCGGCAUGAUAGCAACCAGGCAAGACAAAGAAAGAAAAAGAAAAUGACAGAGUUGAAGAAGAAGCUUCGCGAAAAGGUCUUGCAAUACAACACCGUAGUGGAAGGAGAUCCGAUUGACGAGGAGUUGGCUUGCAGUCUGACAGAGGGAUACAUCCUACCAUGGGAGAGACACAAAGAUGGUAUAUGUAUGAAUUGCUAGUUUACCAUUGUCCUUUUUGUUACUUGUCAUGCAACAACACAGGAAUGGGAUGAUGCAUUGAAAUAAAAAAUAUCAUGAAUACCA